UACGAAGGGGGCUAGCGUUGCUCGGAAUCACUGGGCGUAAAGCGACCGCAGGCGGCCUGACAAGUCGGAUGUGAAAGCCCUGGGCUCAACUCAGGAACAGCACUCGAAACUGGCAGGCUUGAGUACGGGAGAGGGGGGUGGAAUUCCUGGUGUAGGGGUGAAAUUCGUUGAUAUCAGGAGGAACACCGGCGGCGAAGGCGGCCCCCUGGCCCGCAACUGACGCUCAUGGUCGAAAGCGUGGGGAGCAAACAGG
rnacentral:rRNA from 1 species